rfam:Heterocephalus glaber contig108041, whole genome shotgun sequence.
UCAAAAGCUUUUCUAAAAGCUAUAAUUUUAAAAACUAAAUUUUUA